rnacentral:rRNA from 1 species
AUUGAACGCUGGCGGCAUGCCUUACACAUGCAAGUCGAACGGUAACAGGUCUUCGGAUGCUGACGAGUGGCGAACGGGUGAGUAAUACAUCGGAACGUGCCUAGUAGCGGGGGAUAACUACUCGAAAGAGUGGCUAAUACCGCAUGAGAUCUACGGAUGAAAGCAGGGGAUCGCAAGACCUUGUGCUACUAGAGCGGCCGAUGGCAGAUUAGGUAGUUGGUGGGAUAAAAGCUUACCAAGCCGACGAUCUGUAGCUGGUCUGAGAGGACGAUCAGCCACACUGGGACUGAGACACGGCCCAGACUGCUACGGGUGGCAGAAGUGGGGAAUUUUGGACAAUGGGCGCAAGCAUGAUCCAGCAAUGCCGCGUGCACGAUGAAGGCCUUCGGGUUGUAAACUGCUUUUGUACGGAACGAAAAGCCCUGGGUUAAUACCCUGGGGUCAUGACGGUACCGUAAGAAUAAGCACCGGCUAACUACGUGCCAGCCGCCGCAGUAACAC